rnacentral:rRNA from 1 species
AUAUCAAUAAGCGGAGGAAAAGAAACUAACAAGGAUUCCCCUAGUAACGGCGAGUGAAGUGGGAAAAGCUCAACUUUGAAAUCUGGCAGCUUCGCUGUCCGAGUUGUAGUCUCGAGAAGCAUUUUCCGCGCCGAAGCAUGUAUGAGUCUGUUGGAAUACAGCGUCACAGAGGGUGAGAACCCCGUUCAUGACAUGCCUUUCGGUGCUUUGUGAUAUGCUUUCGAUGAGUCGAGUUGUUUGGGAAUGCAGCUCUAAAUGGGUGGUAAAUUCCAUCUAAAGCUAAAUAUUGGCGGGAGACCGAUAGCGAACAAGUACCGUGAGGGAAAGAUGAAAAGCACUUUGGAAAGAGAGUUAAAAGUACGUGAAAUUGUCGAAAGGGAAACGCUUGAAGUCGGACGUGCAGGGCAACUUGCAGGCCAACAUCGGUUUCAUCAGCCGGAUAAAGGUGGAGGGAAGGUAGCAGCUCCGGCUGUGUUAUAGCCCUCCACUGAAUACGGAUGGAGAGACCGAGGACCGCAGCUUAUGCUUAGGAUGUUGGUGGAACGGCUUUAAACGA